UAUUAGACAGUGAUGAGAAGAGUAAUCAUCUGAAUUUAAUAAAGAGAGCUUCGGUUUCACGGUGAGAGAAGAUAAAUUCAGUUGAUGAAGAUGAUCUCUGAGUCUAGUUGCGGUCUUUUGGCUAGUAACUCGUUGGCAAUCGUUAACUUGCACGGUAUUCUUACGAGAGUACUGAUAGAGAUGCUAGCCAUGACUAGCAAACCAGGUGGUACCGCGAAAUUUCGCCCUGAAC
rnacentral:ncRNA from 1 species